rnacentral:rRNA from 1 species
UACGGAGGGAGCUAGCGUUAUUCGGAAUUACUGGGCGUAAAGCGCACGUAGGCGGCUUUGUAAGAUAAGAGGUGAAAGCCCCAGAGCUCAACUCUGGAAUUGCCUUUUAGACUGCAUCGCUUGAAUCAUGGAGAGGUCAGUGGAAUUCCAGUGUAGAGGUGAAAUUCGUAGAUAUUCGGAAGAACACCAGUGGCGAAGGCGGCUGACUGGACAUGUAUUGACGCUGAAGGUGCGAAAAGCGUGGGGAGCAAACAGG